ensembl:lncRNA
AACGGCCCCCAGGAGCGAUUCUGGCCAGUGACCUUGGGUGCCCUGGCUGUGGACUCGAGUUCUGCCUGUUCCCUGAUGCACUCAUGUUCUCAGGGAGCCCAGCCUCCCUUCCCCACUCAAGGCCCUGACCUGCUGGAACCUCUGCUGAGUGGGCCUUCACCUCAACUAGGAGCUGAAACAGUCCUGGAUUCACUGCAAGAUUGGCAUCCGCCUAUGCCAAUUUGUAAAUACUUUUGGAAAUGCCCUUUGCCCAGGAGGCACUUGGCGAAACCUCUUGCUUACUGUGUGGCCAGCCAGCCGUAGGAGAGGUUGAAGCCCACCAGGUUCCGCUGUCCAUGGGAUUUCCCAGGCAAGAAUACUGCGAAGGGCCGUAUCAUCCUGGGCCUCCCCUGGCAAGCUCACCUCUCACAAGGCUGUGGCUCAACUCCUCUGGGUCUUGUGUGCGGGGCAGGUGAGUGGACGGGCGGUCUGCCCAUCUAAUGGCACCCGUGCCCUGGAUGGAGCCACCGCUGGGCACCCACACCCUCCACUGGCCUGGCCCCCUCCCGGCCCCAUUCCUGGACCUGGCUCCGCCUCUGCCCUUCUGCCCAGCCCCAUUCCUUCCUGGGUCUCUCCUACACUGCCCAGCAGGAGCCAGACACUCUUUGGGCACACUCCCUGAUUCCCGGGUGUGGGCGGGCGAAAGCAGAAGUGCAGCGGGGGGCACGGUGUUCCCCCGGGCUUCCCCACACUUCCACUUCUGAUGAGCGGGGAAACCAUUCCCUCCUCUGCCCUCAGAGUCUGUAAUUUCUCCUGCAAGAGAGGAACAUGUCUAAAAAGGACAUUAUUGGUGUGUGAGGGGGGAAGUGGGACAAAAAACACUUAUUGUCCAGCAGCUGCACGGUUACGGCCCUUCCUUCCUGGGACUGUUCGUCCAGAUCAGCAGGUGGGUCGAGCCGCACCCAGCAGACACCUGCCCUCACUGGGCUCUGGGUCCCCACGUUUGGGCCAAAUGCGGUGUGAGCCUCUUCCUGGCUGGAAGGGACUGCCUGGCCGAGCUCACCCCUGGGCUGCGGCAGUCGGUGCAGAGCAGGCUUCAGUGAUUUAAAAGACAGAGACGUGGCUGAUUUUGAUUUUGUAGGGCAUUUGCUACCAUUUUUUUUUCUCCCCACAACUGUGCUCUAAAACAAAUCGUAGUAUUUAGAUGAAGGUCAGGAACAGGAAAACCUCUUUUGGUUCCAAAAUAUCUGAGUACAUUGUUUUGCUAAGUGAGGUGAGUUGUGUUCCUUUAGGGCUGAAGUCUGUGGACGGUGUGGGUUGCUGCCCUCUUGUGGCAGAGAAGGGAUCCGGGCCUGGUGUUCCCCACAGACGUGGCCUCGAGCCCGCAUUUGUUGGGACAGUUGGGGAGCUGCUGCUGGGCAGCCUGUGGGGCAGGAGAGACCUCCCCCCUGGUCUCUGCAUAUGAGAUUCCGGACUAGUCUAGUGACUGUUCACAGAAGCGAGGUCUGAGGCCAACAACACACACCUUGGCCGCCACAGAGGAGCUGGGGGACCCUUCCCUGACUGGGUGGCCAGAGCUGAGCCCCCAGAGGCCCCCGUGACCAGAGCCGCGUCCCUUGUGAACAAAAACGAGACGUGUGAAACCAGUCCUCGCUCCCUGCUCCUUCCUUCUCUACUCAGCGAUGGUUACUUCUGCAGAAGUCUCUCCCUUCCCAACUCCUGAAUGGUCCUGCUCUGUCUCCUGUUGGGGCUGAAUCGGGACGCUCAGAAUCCUCGUGCUGAAGCCCUGCCACUCAGGGUUUUGGAGACAGGCUCUGUGAAGAGGUGGAAAGCAGGCUGUUAGGUGGCCCUGACCCCAUCUGACUGGUGUCCUUGGACAAGGAGGAGAUAAGGCCAAGGACAGGGCCUCUGGAGGAGCCACCCUGCUGACGCCUGGACCUGGGCCUUCCCGCCUCUGGAAUGUCUAUCGUGAGCCAUCGCCUGUGGUGUUUGGGUGCCGGCAGCCCCAGUGAAUGAACACGCCUGCUGACAGAAUGCCAUCUCUAAAGGGCGGAGGUUGUAUCUGAGGCUUAAAGGACACAACCGCAUGGACUCCCCUGGGGCCAGGCCACAUGUUGUCUGUCCAGAGGCUCUGGAGAUAAAAC